CGCUGGCGGCAUGCCUAACACAUGCAAGUCGAACGAGACCUUCGGGUCUAGUGGCGCACGGGUGCGUAACGCGUGGGAACCUGCCUUUAGGUUCGGAAUAACUCAGAGAAAUUUGAGCUAAUACCGGAUGAUGUCUUCGGACCAAAGAUUUAUCGCCUUUAGAUGGGCCCGCGUAAGAUUAGCUAGUUGGUGGGGUAAAGGCCUACCAAGGCGACGAUCUUUAGCUGGUCUGAGAGGAUGAUCAGCCACACUGGGACUGAGACACGGCCCAGACUCCUACGGGAGGCAGCAGUGGGGAAUAUUGGACAAUGGGCGAAAGCCUGAUCCAGCAAUGCCGCGUGAGUGAUGAAGGCCUUAGGGUUGUAAAGCUCUUUUACCCGAGAUGAUAAUGACAGUAUCGGGAGAAUAAGCUCCGGCUAACUCCGUG
rnacentral:rRNA from 1 species